AUAACAGUUACUUCCUCACUUUUCACCUGUCUUUAGUUAUUGUUUUCUAUGUUUUCUGUGCUUAAGGUUUGCACUGUUGCCAAAAAAUCCCCAAAUAGCUUUGGAAUCAUUAUGUUCACUGUAUUUUAAAAAUUAUUUUACUUAAGAGUUGUGUUAAGUAUGAUAUGUUUUACAAGUUGUUAGAGUUUGGUAUUUUUUUUCCUUGUUAUAUCAAGUAUAAAGGUACAUUGAAUGAUAAGCCUCAUCCCCCACAAACUUAUAUCGUAUUUAAAUGUAAUUAGUUAUAUUCCAAUUUUUGUAAAAAUAGUUUAAUUUUAAAGUUUUUUAUUGUGUGUAAAAUUGGUUGACAUAUAAUAUAGCAAUAUAUAUAUAUAUAUUUAAACGGUACCAAUUACAUGUACAGUAAAAGGUUGAGUACUCUAAAUGAGAUAAGAUUUUGUAGAAGGUCAGUUCACCACAUCAAUAUUUAACACCAUGUCCUUAUCCUCUGUGUGUAGGAGUCCGCAGACUCUCAGUGCUUUUUUCAUGCAAUAUACAGCGUAAGAAAGGCUUUAUUGAUGAUAUUUUUUCAGUUGUCACAAUCAGAUAGAUGUUAAUAUACUGAGAAUUAAAAAAAAUUGUAAAAUG
rnacentral:misc_RNA from 1 species